GGUGGCUCAGUGGUAGAGUACUUGCCUUGCAUGCAUGAGACCCUGGGUUCGAUUCCUCAGCACCA
rfam:Dipodomys ordii contig_63629, whole genome shotgun sequence.